GCAGCUUUAGAAAUUGCGCACCAGCCCUGCGAGGAGCAAUGUGUGGGCUCUCUCAAACGUGAGGAGGCUGAUAAAGAGGCGAUGAUAUUAAAAAGACAGAGAGGGAACAACAAAGAAGCAAGCCAAACCCGAGCAACUCAAACCCAAACCGCGGCGGCCUCUCGGUAUCGCUCAGAAAUGCAGCAGGAGAUUUUGUACUUACAGCCAGCGCUAAAGUUCACUUUAAACCGAGGAAACAGGAUACUCUUUUGCUUCCAAUGAUACAAGCAAUCUCCAGAAACAGCACUGCACUAACCUAGUCCCGAGACCAGUUACUUCUUUGGAAAGACUGUAAUAGGAGUGACAUGGAAAAUUAAAAAAAAUACUGUGA
rnacentral:lncRNA from 1 species